UUUUUUUUUUUUUUCAAGAUGGAGUCUUGCUCUGUGGCCCAGGCUGGGGUGCAGUGCCGUGAUCUCCGUUCACUGCAACCUCUGCCUCCCAGGCUCAAACAAUUCUCCAGUCUCUCUUCUGAACACAAGCCACUAACAGCCAGCUAAUUUUUGCAUUUUUUGUAGAGACGGGGUUUCAUCAUGUUGCCCAGGCUGGUCUCGAACUCCUGAGCUCAAAGCGACCCAUCUGCCUCGGCCUCCCAAAGUGCUGGGAUUACAGGCAUGAGCCACCCAGCAGAUUCAACAAGUUUUGGCAAGUACUUUCGUAUCCUUUACACUCAUUUUUCACAUCUGUAAAAUGGGGAUGACAUUAUUUACUUGGCAGAUUUGUGGUGAGUAGUAGAUCUUAGAAACUCAGCUGUUUGAAAUCCUGUGAAAUUAUUAUUUCUAUUGGGCUCUGAAGUCUUUGAAAGGACAGAUGGUAUUUUCUUUAUCUUUGUAUACUUAACCUCUAAUAUAGUAAAUAUCUGGCACGUAGUAUCUACUUAAAUGUAACUUUUCAGAAAACUCUUCCCCAAUACUUCAUCUAAAUAAGUAUCCCCUUGUUAUUCAUUAUAUUAUUUUCCUUUAUAGUCCCUGAAAUGAUAUAGUAUUUGUAUAUUGUCUACUUUUUCACUAGACUGUAAUUUCCAUGAGAUUAGUAAUCUUGUCUGUCUGGGUGGCCAGAGUCUAGAGCAAUGCCUGCUAAGAGCAGGUGCUCAAAAUGUAUUUGUGGAAUGGAAACAUAAAUGAAUGGUAGUUGCUUAAUUAUUACUAGUAGUGGCAGUGGUUUACACGGUAUCAGAACCAACACAAAGGGACGCCUUUAGUCAUCUUUGCAAAGCUCACCAGAAAGGAUGACAAUGAUCAGAAACCUUUCAAGUUUCCUCCUCACAGAAUUCUGCCUGGGAACCUUUAUUAAGGAUGGCCGAUUUCACCAGGCCUCCACCAGGAGGCCCUUUAUGCUAAACUGAGCAGAGUGAAUGUUUUAUGACGUGGACAAGGGCUGCCUCAGAGCCUGAACUGGGGCCAUCUGGGGGGAGUGGGGUGGGGCCACACCCUCUCCCUGGGCUCUGCACCACUGAAAGGCUCCAGACGGCUCGGGCCCUGGGCCAAGCUGCUUGGUUCCAGUGGGAAAGCUGACCUUGGCCAGGAAGAACCAGGAAGAGGCACAAAUGACUCAUUGUCCCACAUCCUCCAAGGUAAAAACCCAGCAGUGUGUGUGGCCUUUAGGGCUGGAUGUUAUUGCAGCCUUGGCUCCUUCCUCAGCCAAAAUAAAAGCACUCGGCCAGUAACACUUGCACAGCCUAGGAUACAACCAACGGCUCUCUUCCGUUGUUCUAUUCAACACACUUCCCUGCACUUAAAGUUUUAAAAUAUCGUGCACAUAACAUUAUGAUUUCAGUUCUAAAUGUAAACCAUAAUUUCUUUUUAAAGACGUACGGCAGCCUUCAUUUCCAGUCAAGGCAUGUGCCAUUUUAGGGUCCCGGGGAAGAAAUACGAUAUGCUUUCAGGUCACGUGUGAAGGAGGUCUCACCGGAAAGUGCUUAGUUUAUUCAGAAGUUUGGAAUCUAAAGCGCUGAUUUGUAAGAUGCGCUGCUGCCUCCAGAUUUCCACUAGAGGGCAGUCUUGGAAAAUGUUUAUAGAUACAUAUUUUAUUGCUAUGUCUAGGAAAUGUGUCUUGCUUUUAAAAGGAACAAACAAACAAAAAACCCAUGUAAAAUUUAGGGCAAGCUCUUUGGCUCCACUUGGAA
rnacentral:lncRNA from 1 species